rnacentral:rRNA from 1 species
GCUUAAGGCCAUACUGUCCUAAAAAUACCUGAUCUCGUCUGAUCUUGGAAGCUAAGCAAGGUUGGGACUGGUUAGUAGUUGGAUGACAGACUGCCUGGGAAUAUCAGGUGCUGUAAGCU